rnacentral:rRNA from 1 species
AAUCAACGCUGGCGGCGUGCCUAACACAUGCAAGUCGAACGAGAAAGGGUAGCAAUACCUGAGUAAAGUGGCGCACGGGUGAGUAACACGUGACUAACCUACCCUGGAGUGGGGGAUAACUGAGGGAAACCUUAGCUAAUACCGCAUAACACCUACGGGUCAAAGGAGCAAUUCGCUUUGGGAGGGGGUCGCGGCCGAUUAGUUAGUUGGCGGGGUAAUGGCCCACCAAGACAGUGAUCGGUAUCCGGCCUGAGAGGGCGCACGGACACACUGGAACUGAAACACGGUCCAGACUCCUACGGGAGGCAGCAGUGGGGAAUUUUGCGCAAUGGGGGAAACCCUGACGCAGCAACGCCGCGUGGAGGAUGAAGUACUUCGGUACGUAAACUCCUUUCGAUCGGGACGAUAAUGACGGUACCGGAAGAAGAAGCCCCGGCUAACUUCGUGCCAGCAGCCGCGGUAAUACGAGGGGGGCGAGCGUUGUUCGGAAUUAUUGGGGCGUAAAGGGUGCGUAGGCGGUUUGGUAAGUCUCU